rnacentral:rRNA from 1 species
CCUACGGGUGGCUGCAGUGGGGAAUAUUGGACAAUGGGGGAAACCCUGAUCCAGCAAUGCCGCGUGUGUGAAGAAGGCCUGCGGGUUGUAAAGCACUUUCGGUUGGGAAGAAAAGUUUGGCGCCAAUACCGCCGAACCUUGACGUUACUGACAGAAGAAGCACCGGCUAACUCUGUGCCAGCAGCCGCGGUAAUACAGAGGGUGCAAGCGUUAAUCGGGAGCACUGGGGUGAUAAUGUGCGUAGGGUGUGAAAUCCACGGGCUUAACCUGGGAACUGCAUUCGAUACUACAUGGCUAGAGUAUGGUAGAGGGAAGUGGAAUUUCCGGUGUAGCGGUGAAAUGCGUAGAUAUCGGAAGGAACACCAAUGGCGAAGGCAGCUUCCUGGACUAAUACUGACACUGAGGCACGAAAGCGUGGGUAGCAAACAGGAUUAGAUACCCUUGUAGUC